CGAUCGGGGCUGGAAAGUUUUUCGGUUGAAGAUGACUUCGCGGCCUAUCAGCUUGUUGGUGAGGUAAUGGCUUACCAAGGCGACAGACGGGUAGCCGGCCUGAGAGGGCGACCGGCCACACUGGGACUGAGACACGGCCCACCACUCCUACGGGAGGCAGCAGUGGGGAAUAUUGGGCAAUGGAGGAAACUCUGACCCAGCGACGCCGCGUGCGGGAUGAAGGCCUUCGGGUUGUAAACCGCUUUCAGCAGGGAAUAAGCGCAAGUGAAGGUACCUGCAGAAGAAGCACCGGCUAACUAUGUGCCAGCAGCCGCGGUAAUACAUAGGGUGCAAGCGUUGUCCGGAAUUAUUGGGCGUAAAGAGCUCGUAGGUGGUUUGUUACGUCGAUCGUGAAAUUCAGGGGCUCAACCCCUGACUUGCGGUCGAUACGGGCAAGCUAGAGUUUGGUAGGGGAGACUGGAAUUCCUGGUGUAGCGGUGGAAUGCGCAGAUAUCAGGAGGAACACCGAUGGCGAAGGCAGGUCUCUGGGCCAAUACUGACACUGAGGAGCGAAAGCGUG
rnacentral:rRNA from 1 species